AUGUGUGCUCUUCCUGGAUGGAAUGAAUAGUAUAGAAGCCAGAGGUUGGUAUGCAUGCAAGAAAGGCAGUCAGUGAAGAUGUAAGUUGAGGAGUCAGUGGGCAAGAGAGAGGCUGAGGUGUGGGUUAGAGGAAUGAAUGU